rnacentral:lncRNA from 1 species
UCCCUAAAGAGACCUUUUGAGGUACCUCGUGCAGCUAGAGAAAAGCUAGUAGAGACGGAAUACACAUCGAAGGAUGUCGGUGUCAACUGCAGCUGUUCACAGAGGCAUGAAGAGAUCAGUGGAUCCUCCGAAGCUCAAUUUACAAGUGGUUGGAGAGAGGAUUGGAUCUGGAAAUUCAGUUCUUUUUCAUGUAGAAAUUCAACUUUUCCAGCACCAUUUGCUUGUUCCACAAUGUACAUUUUUGACUGCUUCAUUUAAAAAAAAAUGGGGGACUGGGCUAGGCACCAUAGUGUACCCUUUUUAAUACCAGCACUUGGGAAUCAGGAGCAAAUAGAUCUCUGGAUUUGAAGCCAUCAUGGUCAACAUAGUGAGCUUCAGACUAUCCAAAGCUAUAUGCAGAGAUCCUGUCUC